CCUGCCAGCCACACUGACAGCCAACCAGUGGACCCUGAUGGAGAAGACAGCUGAGGUGUUAGCUCCAUUUGAGGAACUCACGAGGGAUGUGAGCAAUCCCACUGCAUCUGCAGCUGAUGUCAUCCCUGCAAUAACAGACCACUGACCAGGGGGUCAGAACAAUGAAGAGCACGCUCCUAGAGGCAGUGGAGACCCGCUUUGCUGAGGUAGAGGAGGAGCCACUGUACAGCAUUGCCACUCUAGUGGAUCCAAGAUACAAAGAC